UACGAAGGGGGCUAGCGUUGCUCGGAAUUACUGGGCGUAAAGGGCGCGUAGGCGGACAGUUUAGUCAGAGGUGAAAGCCCAGGGCUCAACCUUGGAAUUGCCUUUGAUACUGGCUGUCUUGAGUUCGGGAGAGGUGAGUGGAAUGCCGAGUGUAGAGGUGAAAUUCGUAGAUAUUCGGCGGAACACCAGUGGCGAAGGCGACACACUGGCUCACUACUGACGCUGAGGCGCGAAAGCGUGGGGAGCAAACAGG
rnacentral:rRNA from 1 species